CCUACGGGAGGCAGCAGUGGGGAAUAUUGCACAAUGGGCGCAAGCCUGAUGCAGCCAUGCCGCGUGUGUGAAGAAGGCCUUCGGGUUGUAAAGCACUUUCAGCGGGGAGGAAGGCGGUGAGGUUAAUAACCUCAUCGAUUGACGUUACCCGCAGAAGAAGCACCGGCUAACUCCGUGCCAGCAGCCGCGGUAAUACGGGGGGUGCAAGCGUUAAUCGGAAUUACUGGGCGUAAAGCGCACGCAGGCGGUCUGUCGAGUCGGAUGUGAAAUCCCCGGGCUCAACCUGGGAACUGCAUUCGAAACUGGCAGGCUAGAGUCUUGUAGAGGGGGGUAGAAUUCCAGGUGUAGCGGUGAAAUGCGUAGAGAUCUGGAGGAAUACCGGUGGCGAAGGCGGCCCCCUGGACAAAGACUGACGCUCAGGUGCGAAAGCGUGGGGAGCAAACAGGAUUAGAUACCCUAGUAGUC
rnacentral:rRNA from 1 species